rnacentral:rRNA from 1 species
AUGGAUCCCUUCGUUUCUGACCCCACCGGUCCUGUGACAACCAGCCCCAAAACUCAGGGACAAGAGGAAGAGGGCCUUGGAGCCGACCCUUCCUUCAAUUCGCUUACCACUGAGUCCGUCGGCGCGAGCCCCGACGCGCAGGCGGACGAUGAGGCGGAGAGUGGGGCGCGCGGCUCCCUUUCCCCGCCCCGACCGCCACCGAGCAUCUCCGCGCGCCGCGAUCCUCUCAGGGCCGCGUGCUUCCGGAGGCUGGCCGCCUCCUGCGAAGCCCGCCGACUCCGCGAGGCGGCGCUCCUCCGUGCGUCUAAACCGCGCGCGGAGAAGGCCGAGGACCCCGACGAGCCAAUCUGGCCACCAAGAAGCCGCCAUUGGAGGCACUUUGUGUAUGUAUACCUCGCCUUCCACCCCGACUCUCCUUUUGCUCAUGAAUGCAUGAUUACAUAG